AUCUGGGUGGCUCAGUAGUUAAGCGUCUGACUUCAGCUCAGGUCAGGAUCUCAUGGUUUGUGGGUUCGAGCCCCACAUCGGGUU
rnacentral:tRNA from 1 species